AUUAGUGUUUCGUUUGACGUGGACAAAGUUCAGAUCAAAUACAUUGAUGAGGAUAAUGAUGAG
rfam:Chlamydotis undulata macqueenii contig64317, whole genome shotgun sequence.